UUCCUGCAGCAUUUUCACCCGUUCUUCCCAUACCAACCAAUUAAAAUCCUCCAAGCAAUAAUUGAGAUUUCACUGUGUGUACAUUUCUGGGUUCUGGGCUGGGGCCAAAGGAAUGAUGUGAUAAAGGAAGUAUUCAGAGAUAAGGGUCUGUUUUUGUGGUUAGUUCAGACUAUAGAUAAUGCAAAUUAUGUGGAAAUCAAAAUGAGGACAGGGUUGGCUUUGCCAGGGCAUGUUUCUUAGAGGAGAGUUUAUGGAGUAGUUGGUGGAAGUGGUAAUUCCAGGCUGGAAGAUGGCUGAGAAGAGAUGUGAAUGGAAAAGCCAAGUAGGGUAUUUACCACCACCUGUAGAGGAACUUCUGAAGAACAUACUUCAAGAAGAAUAAAAAUGAUCUCAAAAGGAAGAUCUGAGAAGCAAGAAAGAAGGAAGAAAAGAGUGAACAUGUAAUUGCUAAAGAAGACCUGUCUCUGAAAAGCUCUGUGUGCUAGUCACAGCCACCCGUCCCCAGGAGCUUUACCAAGAUGGACAUUGUUUCCCUACACUUGAGUCCUAGGAGGGAGGAAAGCUCUGCUGGACUUCAGUUGGGCUUCUCUUUAUGACCGAGUGGCAAUAAGACCCAGUGACAAUCACUCCCUACUUGAAUCUGUACUAUAUUGUCUUCAGUCUUCCAGCUGCCUUCCUCUGUCGAACUCAGUGUCCUCUGCCACUGGACCUUUCUCUUUGAAAGCCUCCUCAGAUUACUCUCUUUGAGUGCAGGACUGUUCCUACCCAACUCGAGGACUUCCUUGUUCAACACACACGCUCAUCAUCCAGCUGGAGCUGAGGUGAGUGGGAUGAGGGAAGGAUAAACGUGAGAGCUCUGUGUUUUCAGACAGUUCUUAAGCUUCUAGGAAAGUUAAUUAGGAAGUGAAACCUGAAGCAGUUGACAGUGUGCAUUGUUGGCUACUAGGGCAUGGUGACAAAUAGCCCUAAAAAGUCUUCACUUUCUUUUGUAAACAGAAAGGUAAGGAAUUUGUACAAAAAUGCACUGGGGAAGAUCUGCUUUUCAUCAGGGUCUAACCACAUAGUAAACAACAGAAAUAACUUGUUUUAAUAAAGUGUGGUGUUGAAACGUUUAUCAGCAAGUUCUUUCUACCAGCUUCCAAAGGUAUAUUUGGAUAAGAGAAACCUUUGCCCAAAAGAACACAAUCUGAAAUUUAGUUAUAACAUUUUCUUCAUGUCAAGGUCAAGAAACUUAAGGGAAAAGUUUGACUUUCAUGUAAUUGUGAAUUUAUCUCUUAUUAGGCUCAUAUAUUGUGAAUAAGUAUUUACUUAUUAUUUGGGGGUAGAUGUGGUUGGGGAAGAGGAGAGAACUCUGCAAAAUGUUUGAUCUGGAAUGGUUUAAUGAAUUCUAUCAUUUAAAGUGUCUGCUUCCUUCAUCUUUCUCUGGAUGGAUGUGU